CUUCUUGUUUCAGGAGUGUUUUACAGUAAAUUGAUGAUUUUCUUCCAGAACCUUCCUGUCACUCGGAUCCUGGACAACCUGAUGGAGAUGAAGUCAAACCCUGAAACAGACGACUAUCGAUACUUCGACCCAAAGAUGCUACGAGGCAGCGAGAGCUCUAUUCCCAGGAACAAGAACCCGUUUCAGGAGGCCACGUGGUUUGUGGUCGGAGGGGGAAACUACAUCCGAGUACCAGAACCUGGUGGACUACGCUAAGUUCAAGCAGGGGAAGAAGGUAGUUU